AAUGUUUUAAAAACCGGAUUAACUGGUUGGUUCAAUCGGUUGGAUCAGAAACCGGUGAUGAAUCCGGUUGGAUCAACCUUUCAAAAUCGUAGUAAAACCGGAAAAACUGGAUUGAACAGUCCAAAACCAUUUGAACCAAAGAACCGGAGUCGGUUUUGUAAAACCGUUCGGUUCAAAAAGAACAUCAAAUUAACCAUUUUUUUAAUUUUUUUAUUUAAA
rnacentral:lncRNA from 1 species